ACUUCCGGUUUCGUUUCCUCCAGGUUUUUCUCAUCUUUUAGUCCGGACUAAUGGGGUCCUGGUGUGAACUCGUUUUUGGUGAAAUUCGGCUGGGUCUCACCCGAGCCUAUCUAGGUCCGUCUCUGGAGUGGCCUGUCAUCGAUCUCGCCCUCCAUCGCUCAGCGACACAAGUGGAGGCCCCAGGACUGCAGUCUGCAUGAAGAAACAGCUCAGAUUUGACCAAGAUCACAUAAGUAGGAGUUGAGGAAUUGGAACCCACUAUGACUGACUCCAAAUUAAUAUAGUGUUUAUAGCCACUUACAUAAUAAUGGUAAAGGUUUUAUUUUUUUCACUAUACAAUAUGUAGUAGAUAAAUUUACUGAGGAAACGAGACAGCACAUGACAUAUCUUAAAGGAUACACACAUGACAGGAAGGAUUAGAAGACGAAACAGAAACAG